AUGGCGACCGGCGCACGGGUGAGUAACACGUAUCCAACCUGCCGAUGACUCGGGGAUAGCCUUUCGAAAGAAAGAUUAAUACCCGAUGGCAUAGUUCUUCCGCAUGGUGGAACUAUUAAAGAAUUUCGGUCAUCGAUGGGGAUGCGUUCCAUUAGGUUGUUGGCGGGGUAACGGCCCACCAAGCCUUCGAUGGAUAGGGGUUCUGAGAGGAAGGCCCCCCACAUUGGAACUGAGACACGGUCCAA
rnacentral:rRNA from 1 species